GGACAAUACCAGACACGGUGAAGACGUCGAGGAGAGUUUGUACAGUGACAGCUGCAUUCAACUGGAAGAACAAAGGAACAGUGGUAACAGUCGCUUUCUGGACCCCGUUUCCAUAGCUGUUAUCGAAAACGAGUGAAUGGGCCAAUAAGCAUUCAGGUCUUGGAAGGGAGUCCAGGUCUUUGUGAGCGUAGAUCAUGCAAAUUUGCAGAGCCAGCAAGGAAAGCGAUUCGGAUCAGAAACAGGAGGCGGAGACUCACCGUAGAGGUCAACGAAGGGCUGGACACGCCAGGGCCGGAAGUAGCCGGAGGCCU